GGGACGCCUAAAGACUCCAUAGUCAUAUUCGUAGCUUUUACUUUCAAGUUUCUCCUUUAGAUGAAGUAGGAUCGGAGAUUGGAUCGGAGUUGCGGGGUUCCGAACCCAACCUAUAGAGAAAACGAACCAGAGUUUACGUCUAGUAAAACGGAAUAAUUACGUGUUUGGUAGCAAUGUAAAUUAUGUGUAAAAACAAGGAUUUAUGAAGUUCUUAAGCUAUUAUAUUGAUGCGUGUAUAGUUGAGAAUUUAUUUUAAAAACUGAAUAAUUGGUUUCACUAUUUCUUUUAUGUGUACGAUUGAUUUGAAAUGAGAUAUGGGUAUUCUGUAUGCUAA